rnacentral:rRNA from 1 species
UACGGAGGGUGCAAGCGUUAUCCGGAUUUAUUGGGUUUAAAGGGUGCGUAGGCGGCCUAUUAAGUCAGGGGUGAAAGACGGUAGCUUAACUAUCGCAGUGCCUUUGAUACUGAUGGGCUUGAAUGGACUAGAGGUAGGCGGAAUGUGACAAGUAGCGGUGAAAUGCAUGGAUAUGUCACAGAACACCAAUUGCGAAGGCAGCUUACUAUGGUUUAAUUGGCGCUGAGGCACGAAAGCGUGGGGAUCAAACAGG